CCUACGGGUGGCAGCAGUGGGGAAUAUUGCACAAUGGGGGAAACCCUGAUGCAGCAACGCCGCGUGAAGGAAGACGGUUUUCGGAUUGUAAACUUCUGUUCUUAGUGAAGAAUAAUGACGGUAGCUAAGGAGCAAGCCACGGCUAACUACGUGCCAGCAGCCGCGGUAAUACGUAGGUGGCAAGCGUUGUCCGGAAUUACUGGGUGUAAAGGGAGCGCAGGCGGGAAGCCAAGUCAGCUGUGAAAACUACGGGCUUAACUUGUAGACUGCAGUUGAAACUGGUUUUCUUGAGUGAAGUAGAGGUUGGCGGAAUGCGUGGUGUAGCGGUGAAAUGCAUAGAUAUCACGCAGAACUCCGAUUGCGAAGGCAGCAUACCGGCGCCCGACUGACGCUGAGGCACGAAAGCGUGGGGAUCGAACAGGAUUAGAUACCCCAGUAGUC
rnacentral:rRNA from 1 species